rnacentral:rRNA from 1 species
UACAGAGGUCCCAAGCGUUGUUCGGAUUCAUUGGGCGUAAAGGGUGCGUAGGUGGCGCCGUAAGUCGGGUGUGAAAUUUCGGAGCUUAACUCCGAAACUGCAUUCGAUACUGCGGUGCUUGAGGACUGGAGAGGAGACUGGAAUUCAUGGUGUAGCAGUGAAAUGCGUAGAGAUCAUGAGGAAGACCAGUGGCGAAGGCGGGUCUCUGGACAGUUCCUGACGCUGAGACACGAAGGCCAGGGGAGCAAACGGG